rnacentral:rRNA from 1 species
GACGAACGCUGGCGGCGUGCCUAAUACAUGCAAGUCGAACGAGAGCGACCGGUGCUUGCACUGGUCAAUCUAGUGGCGAACGGGUGAGUAACACGUGGGUAACCUGCCCAUCAGAGGGGGAUAACAUCCGGAAACGGAUGCUAAAACCGCAUAGGUCUUCGAACCGCAUGGUAUGAAGAGGAAAAGAGGCGCAAGCUUCUGCUGAUGGAUGGACCCGCGGUGCAUUAGCUAGUUGGUGAGGUAACGGCUCACCAAGGCCGUGAUGCAUAGCCGACCUGAGAGGGUGAUCGGCCACAUUGGGACUGAGACACGGCCCAAACUCCUACGGGAGGCAGCAGUAGGGAAUCUUCCGCAAUGGACGCAAGUCUGACGGAGCAACGCCGCGUGAGUGAAGAAGGUUUUCGGAUCGUAAAACUCUGUUGUUAGAGAAGAACAAGUGCUAGAGUAACUGUUAGCGCCUUGACGGUAUCUAACCAGAAAGCCACGGCUAACUACGUG